rnacentral:rRNA from 1 species
UACGGAGGGAGCUAGCGUUGUUCGGAAUUACUGGGCGUAAAGCGCACGUAGGCGGCUUUCUAAGUCGGGGGUGAAAUCCUGGAGCUCAACUCCAGAACUGCCUUUGAUACUGGCGAUCUUGAGUCCGGGAGAGGUGAGUGGAACUGCGAGUGUAGAGGUGAAAUUCGUAGAUAUUCGCAAGAACACCAGUGGCGAAGGCGGCUCACUGGCCCGGUACUGACGCUGAGGUGCGAAAGCGUGGGGAGCAAACA